rnacentral:rRNA from 1 species
UUUAUGGAGAGUUUGAUCCUGGCUCAGGAUGAACGCUGGCGGCGUGCCUAAUACAUGCAAGUCGAGCGAACGGACGAGAAGCUUGCUUCUCUGAUGUUAGCGGCGGACGGGUGAGUAACACGUGGAUAACCUACCUAUAAGACUGGGAUAACUUCGGGAAACCGGAGCUAAUACCGGAUGAUAUUUUGAACCGCAUGGUUCAAAAGUGAAAGACGGUCUUGCUGUCACUUAUAGAUGGAUCCGCGCUGCAUUAGCUAGUUGGUAAGGUAACGGCUUACCAAGGCAACGAUGCAUAGCCGACCUGAGAGGGUGAUCGGCCACACUGGAACUGAGACACGGUCCAGACUCCUACGGGAGGCAGCAGUAGGG